rnacentral:rRNA from 1 species
UACGGGGGGGGCAAGCGUUGUUCGGAAUUACUGGGCGUAAAGGGCUCGUAGGCGGCCAACUAAGUCAGACGUGAAAUCCCUCGGCUUAACCGGGGAACUGCGUCUGAUACUGGAUGGCUUGAGUUUGGGAGAGGGAUGCGGAAUUCCAGGUGUAGCGGUGAAAUGCGUAGAUAUCUGGAGGAACACCGGUGGCGAAGGCGGCAUCCUGGACCAACACUGACGCUGAGGAGCGAAGGCCAGGGGAGCAAACGGGG